AGAAUUCACAAUAGCUCAGCUGAAUUCCAAAUUUUCUCAACAAAAUUGGUUGGUUCAUUAAUCUGUACAAGAGAAGCAAUUUAUCUCAUGAAAUUCGAAGACAGGGAGAGCAAAAAGAAGAAAUUGAAGGCAUGGAUGCUAUUAGCUCGAGGAUGGAGGAACAAAUUAUUGAAAG